GACGAACGCUGGCGGCGUGCUUAACACAUGCAAGUUGAACGGAAAGGCCCUGCUUUUGUGGGGUGCUCGAGUGGCGAACGGGUGAGUAACACGUGAGUAACCUGCCCUUGACUUUGGGAUAACUUCAGGAAACUGGGGCUAAUACCGGAUAGGAGCUCCUGCUGCAUGGUGGGGGUUGGAAAGUUUCGGCGGUUGGGGAUGGACUCGCGGCUUAUCAGCUUGUUGGUGGGGUAGUGGCUUACCAAGGCUUUGACGGGUAGCCGGCCUGAGAGGGUGACCGGCCACAUUGGGACUGAGAUACGGCCCAGACUCCUACGGGAGGCAGCAGUGGGGAAUAUUGCACAAUGGGCGGAAGCCUGAUGCGGCAACGCCGCGUGCGGGAUGACGGCCUUCGGGUUGUAAACCGCUUUCGCCUGUGACGAAGCGUGAGUGACGGUAAUGGGUAAAGAAGCACCGGCUAACUACGUG
rnacentral:rRNA from 1 species